GCUUUGGAAUUCUUCUUUAGGAAAAGCCAUAUCAACAAGAUUUCUAAUGAAUAGAAAUGGGAUGCUUAAAAAUAAAUAAAUAAAAAGAUUAUUACCAACUCAAGGGAUGAGCUGCGGUCCACUUCAUGUUUGGAACGUCAGCUUCUAGCACAGGGGCUGGUUAUAUUAGACAUUCAAUAAAUGCUUGUUAAGCAAAUGAGGAAUAAAUGGAUAAAUGUCAACGUGAUACUCAAGUCAAAACCUGUGGCUGUAUGUUGGACUCUGCAGAUGCAGUAGUAGCAAAUGUGACAACAAGGUUCUAAGUGGGUCCAUCUUCUAUUUGAAGAAAGUCAGAAAACCAACAGCCAACCAACAAACCAGUCAAUGCCCUCCAGGGAAAGACCAUGAGGAGCAUACCUUUACUUGAACAAGUAACUCAGUGGUGGUUGCAAGGUACAAAAUACCCCAGGACUAUACAGAACAACACAAUCAAGGUAGAAUUGUCACAAAUAACUCCUAAGUAAAUGUUUCCUACAUACUGAAUAAAUACUUGAUUUACUAAACAUGCUUAAAAUAAAUAAAUUUGGAAAAAAUUGAAAUAAA